GCCCGGAGUUCGCUCCCGCGGCCGGAGCUAGGGCUGGGCAUGGAAGAGCCGCAGGGGCAAAGCGGAGGCGGCGGCAGAAAUCACGGCAGCGAGGGGGUGGCCAACCCUCCAGGAUUGUCCUGGAGUCUCCAGGCAGUCAAGAGUCAACACAGCUCAGAAAGGGAGCUGAAUUUUAUUCCUUCCUGUGAAUCAACAACAGAAUUGUUCACCAAAUUCCAGUCACUUACAGUUGCAGAAACCCACUGAAAUGAAUGGGCUUUCACCUGUGUCACUAAGGGUAGAAUUUGGCCUGUAGAAUCUUUAGUAGUGGAGAUGAUGUGCAAGGAAAGAACUCGACAGAGCACGCAAAUGGAGUUUGAUUGGGGUGGUCAGAAGUAGUGGAAUCUUUUUUCCUGUUAACUGAACAGGUUUGAUAUACAGCUAUUGACAGACAAAUAUGGAAUCCAUCAUGCCAUUUUUAGGAAUUGGUUUUCAGAGAAAAACUGCACUCUAAGGGUAGUUCUAAGUUCUCUUUUAUAAAUGGGGCUCUCAAUUCAAGUUAAGAAAAUCAUUCUUUGUUCACCUUUGUAUUUUAAGCUCCCUGUUUUAUUGUAGCAUAGUUCAGUGGUUCUCUUUUUAAACCAUCACUUUCCUUUUAUCAAAGCAAAUGAGAUCAGAUCCCACCUUCAAAUCUAGUGGAAACAACAUUCAUUCAUAUAUAUCAACUGCCAAUUAUAUGUUAAAACACCUAUGUACAAUCGGAAUAGUUUUUACCUUGACACAUUUUAGUGAAAAGGAUCACAGAGCUUAUCUAGGUGUGGAAAGAUUUAUCCAAACUGAAACAGGAAAAUGACUUCUGAGUCCCAGCAGGGGAACAAGAACUCCCUGGAGAACAGGACAAGAGAACAGAACGGGGAGACAGGGACCGUAGCCUGAACAUGGUGGAAGACACAAGAACAAGAACUCCUGAGAAGCCUCUGACUUUUAGCCUGUUUUCACCUUUAUGAAACGACAUCAGAACUGAAGACACGAAGUUUCUGACCUGGACCACGCAGCAAUGAGAAGCAACUGAUGAGGCAGUUGGUCUGCCCUGAGGUUGGGAGCACGAGGUGAACUGAGGCACAUGCGCGGACCAACAGACACUGCUUUCAAAUUCUCUGACUCUGGGAGCAUGGUGCACAUGUGUAACCCACAGUGGAAUACAAUAAGGACCAUUACUUGAAGACGAAACAGACUUUCUUGGUCCUCUAGUCACCAACUGUUUAAUGCCUUCAACCAAAAAUCUAUCUCAAAGGCUAUUUCAAUUUUA